GGCAGUGGUGGCCCAGUGGUUAAGCCUCUGUGUUAUUAAUCAGAAGGUCGGGGGUUCAAGCCCCAGCACUGCCA